AAGUCGUAACAAGGUUUCCGUAGGUGAACCUGCGGAAGGAUCAUUAUCAAUGCAAAGUUUCUCCAAUGAAUUUUGGGGUUUCUUUGAUAAAAUUUCUCUUCUUUUCCUUUCUUUGAGGGAAUUGAAGGAAUCCACUGUGAUCUGUUUCGAGCUUUUUCAUUUGAAAAAGCUACAACCCGUUUUUUUCUUUGGAAACAAACGGGUGUGGGGCCUUUUAGGUCUCGCAAUUCAAUAUACUUUAUGAAAUUCUUGAUUGAUUCUUAAUUGAAACAAAAAACAACUUUCAACAAUGGAUCUCUCGGCUUAC
rnacentral:misc_RNA from 1 species